CGGUUGUCCAAGUUUAAGGUGGUAGGCUGAAAUCUUAGGUAAAUCCGGGGUUUCAAGGCCGAGAGCUGAUGACGAGUCGUCUUUUAGAUGACGAAGUGGUUGAUGCCAUGCUUCCAAGAAAAGCUUCUAAGCUUCAGGUAACCAGGAACCGUACCCCAAACCGACACAGGUGGUCGGGUAGAGAAUACCAAGGCGCUUGAGAGAACUCGGGUGAAGGAACUAGGCAAAAUGGCACCGUAACUUCGGGAGAAGGUGCGCCGGCUAGGGUGAAGGAUUUACUCCGUAAGCUCUGGCUGGUCGAAGAUACCAGGCCGCUGCGACUGUUUAUUAAAAACACAGCACUCUGCAAACACGAAAGUGGACGUAUAGGGUGUGACGCCUGCCCGGUGCCGGAAGGUUAAUUAAUGGGGUUAGCGCAAGCGAAGCUCUUGAUCGAAGCCCCGGUAAACGGCGGCCGUAACAAUAACGGUCCUAAGGUAGCGAAAUUCCUUGUCGGGUAAGUUCCGACCUGCACGAAUGGCGUAACGAUGGCGGCACUGUCUCCACCCGAGACUCAGUGAAAUUGAAAUCGCUGUGAAGAUGCAGUGUAUCCGCGGCUAGACGGAAAGACCCCGUGAACCUUUACUGUAGCUUUGCACUGGACUUUGAGCCUGCUUGUGUAGGAUAGGUGGGAGGCUUUGAAGCGUGGACGCCAGUUCGCGUGGAGCCAUCCUUGAAAUACCACCCUGGCAUGCUUGAGGUUCUAACUCUGGUCCGUAAUCCGGAUCGAGGACAGUGUAUGGUGGGCAGUUUGACUGGGGCGGUCUCCUCCUAAAGAGUAACGGAGGAGUACGAAGGUGCGCUCAGACCGGUCGGAAAUCGGUCGCAGAGUAUAAAGGCAAAAGCGCGCUUGACUGCGAGACAGACACGUUGAGCAGGUACGAAAGUAGGUCUUAGUGAUCCGGUGGUUCUGUAUGGAAGGGCCAUCGCUCAACGGAUAAAAGGUACUCCGGGGAUAACAGGCUGAUACCGCCCAAGAGUUCAUACCGACGGCGGUGUUUGGCACCUCGAUGUCGGCUCAUCACAUCCUGGGGCUGAAGCCGGUCCCAAGGGUAUGGCUGUUCGCCAUUUAAAGUGGUACGCGAGCUGGGUUUAGAACGUCGUGAGACAGUUCGGUCCCUAUCUGCCGUGGACGUUUGAGAUUUGAGAGGGGCUGCUCCUAGUACGAGAGGACCGGAGUGGACGAACCUCUGGUGUUCCGGUUGUCACGCCAGUGGCAUUGCCGGGUAGCUAUGUUCGGAAAAGAUAACCGCUGAAAGCAUCUAAGCGGGAAACUUGCCUCAAGAUGAGAUCUCACUGGGAACUUGAUUCCCCUGAAGGGCCGUCGAAGACUACGACGUUGAUAGGCUGGGUGUGUAAGCGUUGUGAGGCGUUGAGCUAACCAGUACUAAUUGCCCGUGAGGCUUGACC
rnacentral:rRNA from 1 species